AAUGAACGCUGGCGGCAGGCCUAACACAUGCAAGUCGAACGGAAGAAUGGAGCUUGCUCCUGGAUUCAGCGGCGGACGGGUGAGUCAUGCCUAGGAAUCUGCCUGGUCGUGGGGGAUAACGUCCGGAAACGGGCGCUAAUACCGCAUACGUCCUGAGGGCGACAGUGGGUGAUCUUGGGACCUCACGCUAUCAUAUUAGCCUAGGUUGGAAUAGCUAGUUGGGGGGGUAACGGCAUACCAAGGCUACGAGCCGUAACUGGUCUGAGGGGAUGAUCAGUCACACGGGAACUGAGGCACGGCCCAGACUCCUACGGGAGGCAGCAGUCGGGAAUAUUGGGCGAUGGGGGAAAGGCUGAUCCAGCCAUGCCGCGUGUGGGAAGAAGGUCUUCGGAUUGGAAAGCACUUUAAGUUGGGAGGAAGUGCAGUAAGUUAAUACCUUGCUGUUUUGACGUUACCAGCAGAAUAAGCACCGGCUAACUUCGUG
rnacentral:rRNA from 1 species